ACGUCCUUAGUUACCAGCACGUUAUGGUGGGCACUCUAAGGAGGACUGCCGGUGGACAAACCGGAGGGAAGGUGGGGAGUGACGUCAAGUCAUCAUGGCCCUUACGGCCUGGGCUACACACGUGCUACAAUGGUCGGUACAAAGGGUUGCCAAGCCGCGAGGUGGAGCUAAUCCCAUAAAACCGAUCGUAGUCCGGAUCGCAGUCUGCAACUCGACUGCGUGAAGUCGGAAUCGCUAGUAAUCGUGAAUCAGAAUGUCACGGUGAAUACGUUCCCGGGCCUU
rnacentral:rRNA from 1 species